UUAAUAUUUCAUUUCUUCUUUCUUCUCCCCACCACCACCAGCUGCUCCUCCGACCGCAGCACCACCACUAAGCCACUGUAACUUCAAGAUCUGCCACGAUCACUGUCCCCUCUUCCUCUAGCACCUCCUCCUCCUUCUCUCAGACCGUCGUACCCAAUUUCUGAUCCUCCAUUAACGCCAGAUCCGCCUCCUCUUCGUCCUCCUUCCUCACCAGCGCCACUUACACCUUUUCCAACUCCAAUACAAUCAAAUCUCACUUCUAAACCACCUCCACCAUCACCACCGCCAAUUUUAGACCUUCAAUUAGUUAUGGUAUGAUUAAUUUUGGUUGAUUUUUAAUUUAUACUGAUUUUGUUCGAUUGGUAUUUAAUAUCCCAAUGAAAAUCUUAAUUUGAUCAGAUCCAAUUUGUUUUUGAAAAAUUUAGCGAUUUUUCUUUUUAAUUCUCAGAGAUUGUUAUCCCAUCGAUUGAAUGGAAUUUUGCUCCUAACAAAUGAUUUAGAUCUUCUUACCAUUAAAUCGAAUUGAAAUUUCUCAAAGGAUACAAAAGGGAAGGGUAUCUCUAUGAAGGAUAAAUUUAGGGGGAACUCAUUUGGAAUGUGGCAGAAAUGAUUCGUAAAAAUUGGGAUUUGGGUUUUAUUAUCGCAAACAUAAUCUGGGAUCAGAAGAUUAUGAAGAUAAAACACAAAAUUGCAAGAGUAAAAGGGUGGAAUUCAAGACGUUCAAGAUGGUAACAAGCUUACUUUCUUUAACAAAUUGAGUUCCUUAACAUUUAUUUUACUUAAACUUGGUUAAUUAUAGAUCUCUAUGUUUGGACCAAUUAUGUUUGAUAGAAAUUUGGUGAAACCGCUCAAUAGGAAAUUUAUGAUGAAACCAAUUUCAGUUUCAUCUAAAUUUGGUGAAAACCGAUUUUGGUUUCAUCUAACUUUUCCUUAAUUUUUUUGAAAUUUUUAGGUGAAACCAAUGUUGUUGGUGAUAAAUAGUAUUAUAUUGAAACAACCAUUUAUUUCAUCUGCGUUUGAUCAAUAUUUUUUGAGGUUUUAUUGAUGAAACUAAACUUUUCUAAGUGAUUUUUUUUUGUUGAAACAGUUUUGGUUUCAUCUGAUUUGUUUUUUAUUUUCUAUGAAACCAGUUAUGGUUUCAUCAAUAUUUCAUUAAUGAUACAGAGAUGGAUUAUUUUCUAAUGAAACCAAACAGUUUUUUGAUGAAACCAGUUUUGGUUUCAUCAAAAUUUUAGUUACGCAGGUGAUGGUAUUGGCAGUUGUGGUGCUACUGGGGGUGGUAAUGGCGGUGGUGUUGUUGACAUCGGUGGUGGUUGGCGUUGGUGGUGGAUAGUGGUGGUUGGAUUUGUUCGAAACGACGACGGUGGUGGUUUUAUGAAUAUUUGGUGGUGGUGGUAGAUGACGUUAGCAUAAGUUGCUGGUUGCUGGUUGGUGGUGGUGGUGGUAUGUGAGCUGGUCGACGGCGUUGGCGGUGGUCCGCGAAAAUGGUGGUCGGCAUCGGUGAUGGUAGAUUCGAUUCCUAACUUAAGCAUAAGUAUGAGAAGAAGGUGUGGGAGGAGGAAGCAGAGAAAAAAUGUGGGGAUACCUUAAUGCUUUGGAAUUUCCUUACAAAAAGGAAGAAGAUUAUAGAGUCAAUUCCCACCUUAUGGUCAACUGCGUUUCUGGGUUUACCUUCGCUUCAAAAACUCUCGACUGAAGAAGACAAGAAGAGGUUCAACAAUGAGUAUCGAACAAACAAGAGACUUUACCGCCAGUAUCCGCAGAAUCCACGACAGCGACAAGAUGCAUGAACGAUAUUGUUAUUAACAUAGAAGAGUACAUCAUCCAACCGUGGAGUGUUAUUCCCUUUGGUAUAUUGUGCAAAGGAAGCGAGCCAGAGGUGAGUUGGAGAUAGGGGACCACAGCAUUAACAACGAUCUGCUUCCUCAACACCAAGUCAUGAUGAUUUCACAUGAUCCUACAGAUGGAGAAACUUGGAGGCCUUGGGAAGACGCGGAAGAAGAAGAAGCAUGCGAAGCUUCCGAGACAGCGGUCUUUCCGAAUACAAAUGGAGUCGCUAGUAAGUUUGCUCAAACUAUUCUGGCUCAGCAAUUUUUCGACUCUCUAGGUUUUAGUGAAAACCAAAACCGCGAAGCAUCCAAAGCUAUAACUGCAAUUGCAUCUGGGAAAACAUAUGAUCCGACGCCUAAGGAAGUCAUCGUUUUUAUGGACGAAGACAUAUGCUACCCGGGAGAGCACCUUCUCCCCUUGUACCUAACAACUUUCAUUAACAAACAACCUCUCAAGCGAGCUUUCAUAGACAGCGGAGCUUCACUUAACCUAAUUUCAUUACAUACAUUGGAGUUUCUGGGAGUAUCACGAUAAGCAAUUAAGAUGUGUGCAACAAUUGUGAGAGAAUUUGGAGGACAAACCCAGACGGCAAUCGGGAUAGUACAUUUGAUGAUGAAAAUCAGACCCAUCAGAGCACUCACCCUUUUUUACGUGCUUGAGGAUGACACCACAUUCCAUGUACUACUCGGAAGAGGCUGGCUUUUGAACAACAAAGUAGUAGCAUCAACAUAUCAUCAGUGUGUCAAGACUAAUAUUGGAGGAAAGCAGUACCGGAUCCCAGCCACGAGCAAUCUAUUCGGACUAGAAGAGCCUUACAUGGCUGAUGCGGUUUUUACACACAGCCUGUCCUGGACCAAGAAGUUCAACCGGGGCAUCACCUUAUUCCUUGGUAUACGGGGAAGAUGCAAUAAUACCAGCAGAGAUCGUUAUUCCUUCAGCACGAGUAUCCAUGGCUAGUAUCACCACUCCGGACGAGGUUAGCCGAUUUUCCCAUAUUGAUAAUUUGGAGGAACGAAUAGUUAAGGCUGAACGAUUUGCGGACAAGUACAGGCAAAGGACAUCUAGAUACUAUAACCAGAAGGUAAAGGAACGAACUUUCUCAGAAAAUGACAUAGUCAUGAAAAUCUCCCCAUAUGUUCAACGAGAUGCAAAGUCCGGAAAGUUUUCCGCAAACUGGGAAGGCCCGUAUAUGAUUAGUGAAGCUACGAAAAGUGGAUACUAUUAACUCAAGCGGAUGAGCGAGUCCCGGAUCAAUACCCCCAUCAACGGUAAAUGGUUUAAAGCCUAUUAUGCAUAAUAACUAAAUGUACGCCAGAUGGUUGAUUAUCAAUAAUAUGAG